rnacentral:sRNA from 2 species
AUGUAUCACCUCGUACACUCCAGUUCUGAGCGCGCCGUCCACACCCACCUGACACCUGCUUGUUACGUUUAUUAGCC